CUGGAAUCGCUAGUAAUCGCGUAUCAGAACGAUGCGGUGAAUACGUUCCCGGGCCUUGUACACACCGCCCGUCACAUCACGAAAGUGGUUUGUACUAG
rnacentral:rRNA from 1 species